rnacentral:rRNA from 1 species
UGCAGAGGUCUCAAGCGUUGUUCGGAUUCAUUGGGCGUAAAGGGUGCGUCGGCGGCGCGUUAAGUCGGGUGUGAAAUCUCGGAGCUUAACUCCGAAACUGCAUUCGAUACUGCCGUGCUUGAGGACUGGAGAGGAGACUGGAAUUUACGGUGUAGCGGUGAAAUGCGUAGAUAUCGUAAGGAAGACCAGUGGCGAAGGCGGGUCUCUGGACAGUUCCUGACGCUGAGGCACGAAGGUCAGGGGAGCAAACGGG